CGAACAUCCUGAGAGCAGAGAAGGGAGAAGAAAGGGAGAAGAGAGGGAAAGGCCUGGUCUAUGAGAAAGCGGCAAGAGGGAGAGAUCGGGUUUUUUUGGAACAGAUCCGAUCUGAGUUUCCGUAACCCAAUGAUAUCGAUUCAUGGCGUGGGAAUCAAUCUUUGAAAACAAUGGAAUCUCAUGUCUAUUCACCCUGCCGCUUUGAUCAACAUUGUGGGAGUCAGCCAUGGACAGUAACAGAAUCAUGCCCAUCUACCUUAUCCCCAUUCUCUCCCUUCUCUUAUGCUCCUCGACCUCAUGGAUAGGUCCGAUCUGUAUUUCAAGCCCACCCCAUACCCACCGAGGUGGCUGUUGCUAGCUUUAGCAUUUGUCUUGGUAUUCGGAAUUGAGUUAAUCUUCCACACUUGUCAUCUCCGUCCUAUUUGUGCUGCCGUCCCCCGCACUACCAUGGUGUUUUCUGCCUCCAGCUGAUUGGCUUCAUUGGCAUCACGGACUAGCUUGAGACUAUUAACAGGUAUGGGACAAUGCACAUGAGAAGAAGGCCCUCUACUUUUACCCCUAACCACCAACCACCAUGGGUACACAUAAUAGAACUCCCAUUGCUGCACAGGUUUCUUGUCUGUUUACCCGGAAUUAACUCUGAUUUUAGUUUUUGUUGGCUUGGCUAUAUAAUUAAAUACGUAAAAGGAAUUGAUGCUUAGUACUUUUCAUAAAUCAAACAUAGCCUUAGUAUUUUUUUUCUUUGCUUACACAAACAUAACCUUAGUGAUUUGAAAGGAAGUUAAUCACUAAAGGUUGGAUUACUAACGAGGCUUUAUGUUGUUUUAAUGAAGAGUUUCUAGUUGUGUAUAUAGCCCUUAAUGAUCCUCAAGGACCAUACUUUCUCUAUAAUGUUUGCAUAUCUUUAUUCAUGAUUGACUCAAUUAGAUUUAUAAGUAGAUGUGUGAUUCUGACACAAUCUCCUUGGCUUCAAUGUUACCACUGUGAGUUAGAGGCAAAGAGUGUGCAACCUCCCAUGUUCAAGGACUCUUGUAUGCACCCCAUCAAAGAAAAGACAAAAAGAAUGACAAAAAUACAACAAAAGAUCAGGACUAAGACCUAACUACAAGGGUGUUUUUCUCUAGCCAAAUCUGAGGAGUCUUUGCAUUUUUACCUAAAAAAAAUUCUUUGGAGAAAUAGAAAACUUAGUUUAAUUUAAAUAUGAAAACUGUGAGUGCUUCAAGUGGAUUGACAAUUCAGGAUGAAAAUUCCUAUAUAUAUAUAUAUAUAUAUAUAUAUAUAUAUUCCUAGUUCAGUUCUUUCAAAAUCUCCCUCAGAUUAAUUACUUAUUCAAAGUUAAUGGUGCUUGCAAGGUUGUUAGAGGUGAAGGUAAAAGGUUUGAGGUUGUAGAUGAACAAAAUUUAACCAAUGCAGUUUUUUUUGUUCUUUCCUUUUUUUUUCUCUUCUUCUUAUGGUUAUCUUGGUUAAAUUUUGUAUACCAGAUCAAGGGUGUUAGAAAGUGCCAUUUUUUAGCUUAGUCUUUUUUACACUAUUUGUAAUUUGAUCUAACCUCAAGUUCAAUUGAUCCAUCUUAAGAAAAUACAUCCCUAUUUUGAGUUGAAAAACAUGAUUUCUAUGAAAAAGGGAGUUGAUUAAUCUUGUCAUACCAUCCCUUUUCUCAUUUUUGUCUUGGGAUUGGGAUAAAACCCUUUGUUCUUUUUUGGGCAUCAAGAAGCUGCUAAGAUCAAGCUUGGUGGUAACUUUAAGUGUAUUCCUAAUGAAGAAAGUGUAUGGUUGAAGUUGGAAGGUACUGGUUAAGUUUCUAGAAGAGGAUUGAUAUACUUGAGUUAGGUAAAACCUUGUUUUCAGUUAUUUUUCUUUGUAAUAAUUUAAAAUGCCAUUUUAUAAUUGCAGGAGUAUUCUGGGCAUCAAAGCACAAACCUGUCAAGGUCACAGGUAAAGAGAAUUUGAGGAAAAGUUUGAGGUGUUAGUCAUAGAGGUUGGAGUUGCAAAAUCACCUUUUACCUCUACCUGGCUCCCAAAUGUUUGAAAUUAUGCGUCUUUUUAGAUCAUAUAGAAUGGGUCGUCGUCAUGCAUCCAGGAACAAUAGUGAUGCCAAGAAAGCCAGUGAGAGGGAACCAGAAACCACCAAGGCAGUACGGAGGAGAGCAGCAGAAUAAAAAUGGAAGGUGAACUCAGUUCCGAAUGCCAAGACAAAUGCUAAUAAGCUAGCAGUAGCCACCUUGGUGGUUAUGGGGUGGGCUUGAAAUGCAGCAUUUGGCUUAUUCUGGAACUUAAACUCGAUGAGGUCAAGAAGCAUGGGAAGAAUAAAGGUAAGAAGGUCGAGAAUGACGUUACGUGAAGUAGAAAUAUGAUUAUGUUGAUGUAAUGCUGUUGGGUGGAUUAUGUUGCUGUAAUGUUAUUGGAGGUUAAUUCCCGGAAUGUUCAAGGUAGCAGAGUGAAUAGCAUAGCAUGGUUGUGUUCUGGACAUUUGAUUUAUCUCUAACAUAAUUGUUUCUCAUCUCUUUGGAAAAGCAAAUGAAAGAAUAUUUGUAAA